rnacentral:rRNA from 1 species
GAUGAACGCUGGCGGCGUGCCUAAUACAUGCAAGUCGAGCGAACAGACGAGGAGCUUGCUCCUCUGACGUUAGCGGCGGACGGGUGAGUAACACGUGGAUAACCUACCUAUAAGACUGGGAUAACUUCGGGAAACCGGAGCUAAUACCGGAUAAUAUAUUGAACCGCAUGGUUCAAUAGUGAAAGACGGUUUUGCUGUCACUUAUAGAUGGAUCCGCGCCGCAUUAGCUAGUUGGUAAGGUAACGGCUUACCAAGGCAACGAUGCGUAGCCGACCUGAGAGGGUGAUCGGCCACACUGGAACUGAGACACGGUCCAGACUCCUACGGGAGGCAGCAGUAGGGAAUCUUCCGCAAUGGGCGAAAGCCUGACGGAGCAACGCCGUGUGAGUGAUGUAGGUCUUCGGAUCGUAAAACUCUGUUAUUAGGGAAGAACAAAUGUGUAAGUAACUAUGCACGUCUUGACGGUACCUAAUCAGAAAGCCACGGCUAACUACGUG